CACGUAGUUAGCCGGUGCUUUUUCUGCAGGUACCGUCACUUUCGCUUCUUCCCUACUAAAAGAGGUUUACAACCCGAAGGCCGUCAUCCCUCACGCGGCGUUGCUGCAUCAGGCUUUCGCCCAUUGUGCAAUAUUCCCCACUGCUGCCUCCCGUAGGAGUCUGGGCCGUGUCCCAGUCCCAGUGUGGCCGGUCACCCUCUCAGGCCGGCUACCCGUCGUCGCCUUGGUGAGCCAUUACCUCACCAACAAGCUGAUAGGCCGCGAGUCCAUCCCCAAACCAAAAAAUCCUUUCCACCACCAGACCAUGCGGCCAGUGAUCAUAUCCAGUAUUAGACGUCGUUUCCAACGCUUAUCCCAGAGUCAGGGGCAGGUUACUCACGUUGUACUCACCCGUUCGCCACUAAUCACAGGAGCAAGCUCCUGAUCAUCGUUCGACUUGCUAUGUGUUAAGCCACGCCGCCAGCGUUCGCCUUGAGCCAGGACUACGAAACUCUCUAGAGACUGACCCG
rnacentral:rRNA from 1 species